CGACCGACCCCUGGAUUAUAAAGUAAAGGCCUUAUAUAAUUUUUAAUCUAAUUGCAUGGCUUUGCGAAGAAGGAAGAUAUUGUUACUGCUGGCGGUCGAGUGACGAUUGGUCGAUGCAAAUGGAAAGGGCUUUGCGAAGAAGGAAGAUAUUGUUACUGCUAGAGGACGAGUGACGAUCGGUCGAUGUAAAUGGGAAGGUAUAGGUCUUUGUGAAGGUAGAAGAUAUUGUUACUGCUGGUGACCGAUUGGCAAUUGAUCGAUGUAAAUAGACAUGUGGGUCCGCUUCAUUUUUAUGAACAGUAUUUUACUCAAAAGGGAGAGGCCUAUUUCCCAAAUUGUUGGUUUGUGUUGUUUGUACAGGGUAAACAUUCGAAUAUUGAAAGCGCCUCACUAACAACAAAACUUUACAAUAAAACUUGCGCUUUUCCACGAGCUUUCCUCUUUUUAUAUGAACAAUUGUGAUCAUAAUUUGUUCUACAUAAACACACGUAUGAUACCUAAUAAGUUCUGAUUUUGUGGUUAUGCUAAUGCAGUUGUGUACAUCUCUGUUAACUUUUUACAUCACAAUAUUGUUGCGUAUUACAAUUGUAAAGAUUGGAGAGUAAUGCUAUACUGCUAUAAUCUUUAUGCUACUGACCUAGAACUUGC